UAACACGUAGGGGGCGAGCGUUGUCCGGAUUUAUUGGGCGUAAAGAGCUCGUAGGCGGCUCAGUAAGUCAGGUGUGAAAACUCCAGGCUCAACCUGGAGACGCCACUUGAUACUGCUGUGGCUAGAGUCCGGUAGGGGAGCAUGGAAUUCCUGGUGUAGCGGUGAAAUGCGCAGAUAUCAGGAGGAACACCAGUGGCGAAGGCGGUGCUCUGGGCCGGAACUGACGCUGAGGAGCGAAAGCGUGGGGAGCAAACAGGAUUAGAUACCCUGGUAGUCCACGCCGUAAACGUUGGGUACUAGGUGUGGGGCCUUAUCAACGGGCUCUGUGCCGAAGCUAACGCAUUAAGUACCCCGCCUGGGGAGUACGGCCGCAAGGCUA
rnacentral:rRNA from 1 species